rnacentral:rRNA from 1 species
GACCUACGGGGCGCAGCAGUGGGGGAUAUUGCACAAUGGGGGGAACCCUGAUGCAGCGACGCCGCGUGGGUGAAGAAGCGCCUCGGCGCGUAAAGCCCUGUCAGCAGGGAAGAAAGCGCAUGGCGCCAAUCAGCCAUGCGUUGACGGUACCUCCAAAGGAAGCGCCGGCUAACUCCGUGCCAGCAGCCGCGGUAAUACGGAGGGCGCGAGCGUUAAUCGGAAUUACUGGGCGUAAAGCGCGCGUAGGCUGUUGUGUAAGUUGGGGGUGAAAUCCCACGGCUCAACCGUGGAACAGCCCUUGAUAC